rnacentral:rRNA from 1 species
UACGAACUGUGCGAACGUUAUUCGGAAUCACUGGGCUUACAGGGUGCGUAGGCGGCUUUUCAAGUCAGGUGUGAAAGCCCCCGGCUCAACCGGGGAACUGCGCUUGAAACUGAAAAGCUCGAGUCAGCUAGAGGGACACGGAACUUCCAGUGGAGCGGUGAAAUGUGUUGAUAUUGGAAGGAACACCAGAGGCGAAAGCGGUGUCCUGGGGCUGGUCUGACGCUGAGGCACGAAAGCCAGGGGAGCGAACGGG